rnacentral:rRNA from 1 species
CACGGCGCACGGGUGCGUAACACGUGGGCAACCUGCCCUUGGAUGGGGAAUAACCGCGCGAAAGCGUGGCUAAUACCGCAUAACACUCCGGGAACCGUGGUUACCGGAAUCAAAGCCGUAAGGCGUCCGAGGAGGGGCCCGCGCCCGAUUAGGUAGUUGGUGAGGUAACGGCUCACCAAGCCAAUGAUCGGUAGCCGGUCUGAGAGGAUGGCCGGCCACACUGGAACUGAGACACGGUCCAGACUCCUACGGGAGGCAGCAGUGGGGAAUCUUGCGCAAUGGGCGAAAGCCUGACGCAGCGACGCCGCGUGGGGGAUGAAGCUUUUCGGAGUGUAAACCCCUUUCGACCGGGACGAAACGCCCGCAAGGGAAUUGACGGUACCGGUAGAAGAAGCCCCGGCUAACUACGUGCCAGCAGCCGCGGUAAGACGUAGGGGGCCAGCGUUGCUCGGAAUAACUGGGCGUAAAGGGUCUGUAGGCGGUGUGGCAAGUCGGGAGUGAAAUCUCUGGGCUUAACUCAGGGGCUGCUUCCGAAACUGCCGUGCUGGAGUGCGAGAGAGGUGAGUGGAAUUGCAGGUGUAGCGGUGAAAUGCGUAGAUAUCUGCAGGAACACCCGUGGCGAAGGCGGCUCACUGGAUCGCAAC